rnacentral:rRNA from 1 species
UUCCGGUUGAUCCUGCCGGACCCGACUGCUAUCGGAUUGGGACUAAGCCAUGCGAGUCAACUCGAAAGAGUGGCGCACGGCUCAGUAACACGUAGUCAAUCUACCCUGAGGACGGGGAUAACCCCGGGAAACUGGGGAUAAACCCCGAUAGGUCAUAGCUCCUGGAAUGGGCUAUGGCUCAAAUCUAUAUGGCCUUAGGAUGGGACUGCGUCCGAUCAGGUUGUUGGUGGGGUAAUGGCCCACCAAGCCUAUAACCGGUACGGGCUCUGAGAGGAGGAGCCCGGAGAUGGGCACUGAGACAAGGGCCCAGGUCCUAUGGGGCGCAGCAGGCGCGAAACCUCCGCAAUGGGCGAAAGCCCGACGGGGUCAGUCCGAGUGGCUCCUGCUAAAGGAGUCUUUUGUCAGCUGUAAACAGGCUGGUGAAUAAGGGGUGGGCAAGCCUGGUGUCAGCCGCCGCGGUAAUACCAGCACCCCGAGUGGUCGGGAUGAUUAUUGGGCCUAAAGC